CGGAGGGUGCAAGCGUUAUCCGGAUUCACUGGGUUUAAAGGGUGCGUAGGCGGGCAUUUAAGUCAGUGGUGAAAUACCUGAGCUUAACUUGGGAACUGCCAUUGAUACUAUUUGUCUUGAAUGUCGUGGAGGUUAGCGGAAUAUGUCAUGUAGCGGUGAAAUGCUUAGAUAUGACAUAGAACACCUAUUGCGAAGGCAGCUAACUACGCGAAUAUUGACGCUGAGGCACGAAAGCGUGGGGAUCAAACAGGAUUAGAUACCCUGGUAGUCCACGCCCUAAACGAUGAUUACUCGACAUUGGCGAUACACUGUCAGUGUCUGAGCGAAAGCAUUAAGUAAUCCACCUGGGAAGUACGACCGCAAGGUUG
rnacentral:rRNA from 1 species